UACGAAGGGUGCAAGCGUUGUCCGGAAUUAUUGGGCGUAAAGAGCUCGUAGGCGGUCUGUUGCGUCGGCUGUGAAAACCCGGGGCUCAACUCCGGGCCUGCAGCCGAUACGGGCAGACUAGAGUUCGGCAGGGGAGACUGGAAUUCCUGGUGUAGCGGUGAAAUGCGCAGAUAUCAGGAGGAACACCGGUGGCGAAGGCGGGUCUCUGGGCCGAUACUGACGCUGAGGAGCGAAAGCGUGGGGAGCGAACAGG
rnacentral:rRNA from 1 species